rnacentral:rRNA from 1 species
CCUACGGGUGGCAGCAGUGGGGAAUAUUGGACAAUGGAGGAAACCCUGAUGCAGCGACGCCGCGUGAGGGAAGAAGUCUUUAUGUGUGGAAAGCUCUAUUAGUAGGGAAGAAAAUGACGGUACGUGAUUAAGACUGCACGGCUAACUACGUGCCAGAAGCCGUGGUACUACGUAGGGGGCAAGGGUUAUCCGGAUUUACUGGGUGUAAAGGGAGAGUAGGCGGCAGGACAAGUCUGGAGGGAAAUGCCGGGGCUUAACUCCGGAACUGCUUUGGAAACUGUGCAGCUAGAGUGGAGGAGGGGUAAGUGGAAUGCAUAGUGUAGCGGUGAAAUGCUUAGAUAUUAGGCAGAACACCAGUGGCGAAGGCAGCUUACUAGGCUGUAUCUGACGUUGAGGCUCGAAAGCGUGGGGAGCAAACAGGAUUAGAUACCCUGGUAGUC